UUUUGGGCCAUCACCAGAAAUACCUCUCAUAUUCUCACACCCUUACCCUAGCCCUUACCUCUCUGGUCUUCUUCAGCUAUGGUGGCUUUGAUCUUUUCCCUGGUCAUUGGAAAAGUAAAGCCAAAACCUUGGAUUCCUCCUUACAAGCCACGGCUACUCCCAAGUCCCAACCUUGUCUCACCUUUAUCAAUAAUAAACCCUUUAAACCUCUCAAACAAAUCCCAUAGCUCAACCUUCUAUUUCUCCCAAAAGACCCCAACUUUUCUCACUCUCACCAGAUUUGGUCACAAAUCAACAAACCCCGUCACACCCAGAAGAGUAUUCACCCUUAAAUGCAAGGAAAGCAACUCAGUUGAGGUACUGGACAGGCUCAUCUCAGCAGGUUCUUACUUUUACUCUUUCUUUGAUGCAAUUCCAAGGCGAGGCAAGACCCAACUCGAGGUAACGAAACACAUUCUUGGCAUGUAAACACUGCGUCCGUUCCUGCUUCCAGAAAAGGUUGUUUCAGUGUUUUGCAAAAGACCCAGAAGUUAUAUUUGGAGGUUUCACCUAGCAGACAGAGCUGUAUCUGCUGUGAGGUUGAUGAGAACAGAGCUAGGUGGCGCAUUUGCUGACCUGACCUGACCUUCUUAAUGAGAAAGGGAAAGGUUAUGGUGAUUAUGAGAUGGGAUAUGUAGAAAGGACUCUUGGCUUUCGCACAAGGGAUCUAGAAGAUGAUGGUCUUAGAUUGGUUACUGGUAUAGUUGGAGGAACAAUCCGCUGGAGGCGAUAUCUAGACCAUUUGAUCAGUUAAUUAUGCCAUGAGAAGACUUUUAGCAGCAUGGAACCUCUACUCUUACAGAUUCUAUGGAUUGGUUUCUAUGAGAUUGUUAAGCUAGACAUGCCACCAGAUGCUGCUGUGUGGAAAAGGGUAGUCCCAUUUUCCGGUACUACGUUAUGUCAUUAUAGAAACGGAGUCCAAAAUCCAUUGUUAAGUAGGAGAAUACCUCCACUCCAUAUGACUGGGCCAUUGGAAUGGAAGCUCUCCAAUCUCGGAGCUUACUUUUUCAGGUUAAAUGCCCAUCUUCUUUCACACCUUUGAGGUAUGAACCUUCCCUUCCCUUCCCGUUAGUACUUUAUCUUUUUCUUUCUGGUAAUGCCAUUUUUGUUGUUUUAGAAUACAAUUCUGUAUAUAAUCAAGAACAAGGUUGUGUGGCCUAAAGCAAGCCUUCCUUCAUAAACACAUUUCCAUCGAGUAAGAUUUCUUAGGAAAGUCCUUCAAUCUCUUCAAAUGCCAAAGUAUUAAAAAAAAUGACACGUUAAUCUGUCAUUACAAUUAGUAUUAGUUGCAGAAUAACAUUGAUUUGUUUACAGCCA